rnacentral:rRNA from 1 species
UACGUAGGUGGCAAGCGUUAUCCGGAAUUAUUGGGCGUAAAGAGCGCGCAGGUGGUUGAUUAAGUCUGAUGUGAAAGCCCACGGCUUAACCGUGGAGGGUCAUUGGAAACUGGGGAACUUGAGUGCAGAAGAGGAGAGUGGAAUUCCAUGUGUAGCGGUGAAAUGCGUAGAGAUAUGGAGGAACACCAGUGGCGAAGGCGGCUUCCUGGUCUGUAACUGACACUGAGGCGCGAAAGCGUGGGGAGCAAACAGGAUUAGAUA